AAUAUUGCACAAUGGAGGGAACUCUGAUGCAGCAACGCCGCGUGAGUGAAGAAGGUUUUCGGAUCGUAAAACUCUGUCAUUGGGGAAGAAUAAAUGACGGUACCCAAUGAGGAAGCCCCGGCUAACUACGUGCCAGCAGCCGCGGUAAUACGUAGGGGGCGAGCGUUGUCCGGAAUCACUGGGCGUAAAGGAUGCGUAGGCGGUAGCUUAAGUCAGAUGUGAAAGACCACAGCUUAACUGUGGGGUUGCAUUUGAAACUGGGUUACUUGAGUAUCGGAGAGGGUAGUGGAAUUCCCGGAGUAGCGGUGAUAUGCGUAGAUAUCGGGAGGAACACCAGUGGCGAAGGCGACUACCUGGACGGUAACUGACGCUGAGGCACGAAAGCUAGGGGAGCAAACA
rnacentral:rRNA from 1 species